rnacentral:rRNA from 1 species
AGAGUUUGAUCCUGGCUCAGAAUGAACGUUGGCGGCGUGGAUUAGGCAUGCAAGUCGAGCGAGAACCCGCAAGGGGGACAGCGGCAAACGGGGUAGUAACGGGUAGGUGACGUACCCUCGGGUCGGGGAUAGCCACGGGAAACUGUGGGUAAUACCCGAUAACCUCUUCAGACGUGAUGGUUUGGAGAGCAAAGGUGUGAUUCCACCGGAGGAGCGGCCUGCCUCGUAUUAGCUAGUUGGUGAGGUAACGGCUCACCAAGGCGACGAUGCGUAGGGGGUGUGAGAGCAUGACCCCCACCACUGGGACUGAGAUACUGCCCAGACACCUACGGGUGGCUGCAGUCGAGAAUCUUCGGCAAUGGGCGCAAGCCUGACCGAGCGACGCCGCGUGUGGGAUGAAGGCCCUUGGGUUGUAAACCACUGUCAGAGGGGAUGAAGUUCAUGAGGGCAAUCUCUCAUGAUUGACAUAGCCUCAGAGGAAGCACGGGCUAAGUUCGUGCCAGCAGCCGCGGUAAUACGAACUGUGCGAACGUUAUUCGGAAUCACUGGGCUUACAGGGUGCGUAGGCGGCUUGUUAAGUAGGGUGUGAAAGCCCCCGGCUCAACCGGGGGAAUUGCGCCCUAAACUGGCGAGCU